CACAUUUUCAUUUUGACAAAGAGCAAAUCAAACGGAUAUAACAAAAUCCAGGCCUUAAAGUCAAGAAGAAAAAAAAUUUGAUAUUUCUGUGUCUCUGUGUGUGUGUGUGUGGCUGUGAGAGAGAGAGAGAGAGAGAAGGGGCAUACCUAAACUGAUGAAUGAGAAGAGAAUUUGAAGAAAUGGAGAUAUGGAGGAUUAGAGUUUUGGAUUUGGGAUUUGUUUAAUAUGUUUGCUGGGAAAUUUUGUUGAAGAAAAGGUGCAGAAUAUUAUAGAUAUUUGUGAAAAUUAAGAGUAACUGAGAAAAGGAAAGGGAAAAAGUGUGAAACUGAACACAC
rnacentral:lncRNA from 1 species